UACGUAGGGUGCGAGCGUUAAUCGGAAUACUGGGCGUAAAGCGUGCGCAGGCGGUGAUGUAAGACCGAUGUGAAAUCCCCGGGCUUAACCUGGGAACUGCAUUGGUGACUGCAUCGCUCGAGUAUGGCAGAGGGGGGUAGAAUUCCACGUGUAGCAGUGAAAUGCGUAGAGAUGUGGAGAAAUACCGAUGGCGAAGGCAGCCCCCUGGGUCAAUACUGACGCUCAUGCACGAAAGCGUGGGGGAGCAAACAGG
rnacentral:rRNA from 1 species